AGCGAACGCUGGCGGCAGGCUUAACACAUGCAAGUCGAGCGGGCACUUCGGUGUCAGCGGCAGACGGGUGAGUAACACGUGGGAACGUACCCUUCGGUUCGGAAUAACGCUGGGAAACUAGCGCUAAUACCGGAUACGCCCUUUUGGGGAAAGGUUUACUGCCGCAGGAUCGGCCCGCGUCUGAUUAGCUAGUUGGUGGGGUAAUGGCCUACCAAGGCGACGAUCAGUAGCUGGUCUGAGAGGAUGAUCAGCCACACUGGGGCUGAGACACGGCCCAGACUCCUACGGGAGGCAGCAGUGGGGAAUAUUGGACAAUGGGCGCAAGCCUGAUCCAGCCAUGCCGCGUGAGUGAUGAAGGCCUUAGGGUUGUAAAGCUCUUUUGUCCGGGACGAUAAUGACGGUACCGGAAGAAUAAGCCCCGGCUAACUUCGUG
rnacentral:rRNA from 1 species